rnacentral:rRNA from 1 species
AGUGAACGCUGGCGGUAGGCCUAACACAUGCAAGUCGAACGGCAGCACAGUAAGAGCUUGCUCUUACGGGUGGCGAGUGGCGGACGGGUGAGGAAUACAUCGGAAUCUACUUUUUCGCGGGGGAUAACGUAGGGAAGCUUACGCUAAUACCGCAUACGACCUACGGGUGAAAGCAGGGGAUCUUCGGACCUUGCGCGAUUGAAUGAGCCGAUGUCGGAUUAGCUAGUUGGCGGGGUAAAGGCCCACCAAGGCGACGAUCCGUAGCUGGUCUGAGAGGAUGAUCAGCCACACUGGAACUGAGACACGGUCCAGACUCCUACGGGAGGCAGCAGUAGGGAAUAUUGGACAAUGGGCGCAAGCCUGAUCCAGCCGUACCGCGUGGGUGAAGAAGGCCUUCGGGUUGUAAAGCCCUUUUGUUGGGAAAGAAAAGCAGCAGGUUAAGACCCCGCUGUUCUGACGGUACCCAAAGAAUAAGCACCGGCUAACUUCGUG